rnacentral:rRNA from 1 species
GCAAGUCGAACGCGAAAGCCUCCUUCGGGGGGCAAGUAGAGUGGCGCACGGGUGAGUAACACGUAGGUAAUCUACCUUUGGAUUGGGAAUAACAACCGGAAACGGUUGCUAAUACCGAAUAAUGCAGCGGCACCUAAUGGUGACAGUUGUUAAAGCGGGGGAUCGCAAGACCUCGCGUCUGAAGAGGAGCCUGCGGCAGAUUAGCUAGUUGGUAAGGUAACGGCUUACCAAGGCGAUGAUCUGUAGCCGGCCUGAGAGGGCGGUCGGCCACACUGACACUGACAUACGGGUCAGACUCCUACGGGAGGCAGCAGUCGGGAAUUUUGGGCAAUGGGCGAAAGCCUGACCCAGCAACGCCGCGUGAAGGAUGAAAUCCUUCGGGAUGUAAACUUCGCAAGAACGGGAAGAAUAAGUAAGAGUUAAUAUCUCUUACGAUGACGGUACUGUUUGUAAGCUCCGGCUAACUCCGUGCCAGCAGCCGCGGUAAUACGGGGGGAGCAAGCGUUGUUCGGAUUUACUGGGCGUAAAGGGCGCGUAGGCGGCCACCGCAAGUCGACUGUGAAAUCUCCGGGCUUAACCCGGAAAGGUCAGCCGAUACUGCGGGGCUAGAGUGCAGAAGGGGCAACUGGAAUUCUCGGUGUAGCGGUGAAAUGCGUAGAUAUCGAGAGGAACACCUGCGGCGAAGGCGGGUUGCUGGGCUGACACUGACGCUGAGGCGCGAAAGCUAGGGGAGCGAACGGGAUUAGAUACCCCGGUAGUCCUAGCCUUAAACGAUGAAUGCUUGGUGUCUGGGGUUUUAUAGUCCCCGGGUGCCGUCGCUAACGCUUUAAGCAUUCCGCCUGGGGAGUACGGUCGCAAGACUGAAACUCAAAGGAAUUGACGGGGACCCGCACAAGCGGUGGGAGCAUG